rnacentral:lncRNA from 1 species
AUGCACCGGCAGGUGGUGCUGCAGGACGCCGAGUAUCGCAGCACGUCCCGGAGGCACGAGGUGAUGCACGCGGUGCUGCUCGCGCUCCCCGGGCCGCAGCUGUGGCACUUUCGAUGUGGAUGUGCCCCUCGGGAAGGGCAGCCUAAAGCCCAGCUCACCUCCAUCCCGGUGCUGUUGCUCCCGGCGGGUUUGUGCACAAGGUUUGGAGUGGAGUUACCAGAAAUUGAAGGCAAAAUUCAAAGAAGCAUAAUAGAGAAUUGCAGGAGAGGAUUAAGUAAACAACUCUAAGAUGAUGGCCCUGGUGUGAGGGUGAGACUGUGUACAAAUAUUUGUGGUUUAGAGCCCAGUUUUCCAAAGAGAAGUCCAGAAUACACAAUACGUCACCUGUUUGUACUCCAGCUCCAUGAGGCAACUAAGACAGAAUUAUACAGCAUUUCCAGAUCAGCUCUCCCAGG